rnacentral:rRNA from 1 species
UACGAAGGGGGCUAGCGUUGUUCGGAUUUACUGGGCGUAAAGCGCACGUAGGCGGAUCUUUAAGUCAGGGGUGAAAUCCUGGAGCUCAACUCCAGAACUGCCUUUGAUACUGAGGAUCUUGAGUAUGGGAGAGGUGAGUGGAACUGCGAGUGUAGAGGUGAAAUUCGUAGAUAUUCGCAAGAACACCAGUGGCGAAGGCGGCUCACUGGCCCAUUACUGACGCUGAGGCACGAAAGCGUGGGGAGCAAACAGG